rnacentral:rRNA from 1 species
GUAACCCUAACAGAGGUGCCCUGGAUACNUGGACNACCCCGGGAAACUGGCAUUAAGAGGUGAUAGGUCAUCUCAUCUGGAAGGAGAGAUGGCUUAAAGGGGUACGCGGGCUUCUUCUGCGUAUUCGCUCCAGGAUGGGACUGCGUCCGAUCAGGCUGUUGGCGGGGUAAUGGCCCACCAAACCUGUAACCGGUACGGGCCUUGAGAGAGGUGGCCCGGAGAUGGACACUGAGAGAAGGGUCCAGGUCCUACGGGGCGCAGCAGGCGCGAAACCUUCGCAAUGCGCGAAAGCGUGACGAGGUUAAUCCGAGUGGCCCCCGCUGAGGGGGUCUUUUGUCAGCUGUAAAUAGGCGGGCGAAUAAGGGGAGGGCAAGCCUGGUGUCAGCCGCCGCGGUAAUACCAGCUCCUCGAGUGGUCGGGGCGAUUAUUGGGCCUAAAGCAUCCGUAGCCGGUUCCGUAGGUCCCCUGUUAAAUCCACCCGCUUAACGGGUGACCUGCAGAGGAUACCGCGGGACU